rnacentral:rRNA from 1 species
AACGAACGCUGGCGGCAUGCCUAACACAUGCAAGUCGAACGAGACCUUCGGGUCUAGUGGCGCACGGGUGCGUAACGCGUGGGAACCUGCCCUUAGGUUCGGAAUAACUCCCCGAAAGGGGUGCUAAUACCGGAUAAUGUCUUCGGACCAAAGAUUUAUCGCCUUUGGAUGGGCCCGCGUUGGAUUAGCUAGUUGGUAGGGUAAAAGCCUACCAAGGCGACGAUCCAUAGCUGGUCUAAGAGGAUGAUCAGCCACACUGGGACUGAGACACGGCCCAGACUCCUACGGGAGGCCGCAGUGGGGAAUAUUGGACAAUGGGCGGAAGCCUGAUCCAGCAAUGCCGCGUGAGUGAUGAAGGCCUUAGGGUUGUAAAGCUCUUUUAACCGGGAUGAUAAUGACAGUACCGGGAGAAUAAGCUCCGGCUAACUCCGUG